AUCUGAAACGUUUAACUGAUUACCAAGACCACCUGAAUAUAAUAAUUUAUUGAAAAAAUUCGGCAUCGAGAAUGAUUGGUAACCUCAAAAUAAACAAACGGCGCAAGGAUCCCGCGAGCAAUAUAGCUUAAGUAAAUGGAUGCCGUAAUAAACGUAAAAUAGCGUUUCGUUUAUUGCCUUGGUGUAAACCUGUUUCAAAAUCAAUAAACUUCGUUUCCAAAAGUGAAAGCGUUAUAUGUAUUUGUAAAUCUAAUAUAUAAUCAGUCAGUUCUUUUAAAUCCAACACAAUGUCUAAACCCGCGCACUCUAACCAAGAGUAAAUCAAAAUUACAUAACAGUACUCGAAUAGAUCUAUAGUAAAUCAUAUCUCUGUUAGAAUUUAAAUUUCGUUUAUAAUUAAAUAACCGAAUCUAAAUAUAUAUUACGGUGUCAGUGAUCCAUGAUUAAUUGACAAGAAUUAUUACACUAAGAUAUCGAAUUUUUCGAACUCUAAUGAUUUUAUUCUCUACCAUUCGCAUAAUUAUAUAUAAUGGAAUAUUAUAACGUCAUUGGAUCGGCUUCUAAAAACCCGUAUGUAACGAUAAAGCUGUUGUUUGUAACUCGACAUCGUAUAGAAUCUUGCAAAUUUUUGUUUUGAUUUAACAUUUUUUUUUCGUCUACAGAUUCUUUAAUUUUUCAAUUACAAGUUAGAUCUAGGAGCUUCUUUUAAUUUAUAAGAUUGUUUUACUUCUUUAAAAUUAUAGAAUCUAAAUUAAUAGAAAAAUUUCUAACUCUAACAUCAACAUAAAUAGUGAUAUUUAAAUAGUAAAUGUAUAUGUAUAUUGAAUAGGUACUUAAAUAUAUAAUUUCUUGAUUCAAUGAGAACGCAGUAAGCGUCGUUGCUUACUAUUAAUUUGGUUAAAUUGAUUUUAAAAUUUGAAUAGAAACCUGAACUAGAUUAAAAUUCGUAUAGGUAUUGCUACCGCACUUCGACCAACGUUUCUGCAUUUUCAGAAACUAUACUAUAUAUAGGUAUGCAUCUCGUGUAUACAUACACGGUAGAACUAAGAAGCGAGAUAAUUAGAGAAAUGAACUGGAUCCUACAUAUGUGAAAAAAGCAAAGUAAAGUGAACAGAAUUUUCCUCUUUCGCCAGAAGGCACGGUUCGACGAAUCCUUAAGCGUGGACAGAUAAAAUCUCAGCUUUGAAAAAUAAACCGUACAAGAAGGAAGCAGCUGAUUUGCGACGACCCCGGUUCGACCGUUUAUUUUACUCUUGCUUCUGGUGCCACGAUGAAUCGCGUAUAAAAAUUGCGAACUUCGUUGUUUAUCUAACCGAAAGAAUAAACGUUUCGAAAGUGCCUCGUUUUAUCCGCGAAGGAUUAGCUUCGUAAGCGUUCGCGUAGUUAAAAUUGACUUGGAAAAAAAUGAAAACGAUAUCGAUCAUUUUUCAUGCGUUUGAUCUCCAGCUUGUUGUUGGUAUUAAUUCUCCGUGUGGACACGUAUAUACGAUAUGAUUGACCGAGGUAUAAUUAAGAAUUUUCUCUUGAAUUUCUUAUUUGUAAAGAAGCAUCAUCUUUUCAAGGAAGAAUCGACCAAGAAUAGAGUUUUGAAACAUAAUUUUUUACACAAAUCGAAUCUGCAGGCUGUUUCUGUAAAAUUGUUCCAAGUAUCAUUCGUUAAAUAACUGAUAAAACGUUAAAAUCGAAGAUAAUUUCGAACGAUUAACGAUAAAGAAAGUGUAAGUUUCAUGCGUAUAUGUACGUACAUACGUGAAAAUAGUCCUUCUUCUUUCAAUUCUUUAUGAAGCGUUCGAUUUAUGUAUUGUUACAUUUAUACCAUGCUAUAUUUGCAAAUUGUAAUUCGGUUCAAGCAAAUUUAUUCAACGAUGAAUCAAAGUUCUUUGUGCGGUACUGUACUGCGUAUUUCAUUGUAGUUCGCUACAUAAAGCAGCUGAGAAUGAGUAACCUCUCUGGCGUGAUCUAUGUGCAGUUAACGCAGCCUCUUCUGAAAAUACGAUCACUUCUAAACAACGCAUAUGUUUAUGCACGUAGAAUGUCAAUACCUGUCGCGUGAGACGUGUAAAGUAACUAAUGUUCCUUGAUCUAUCGCUUCCGAUUGAUUUCAAGUUUAACCAGUAUAUUCAGGACAAUUACGCCUCACUGCGAUAAAGACGAAAUGCAAUUUCUAAAUGUUUUGUAUAAUACACGUAACAUAUACACGAAGGUUUUCUAUGGUAAAAAAAAAGUCUUAUAGCUACUAUAUGACUCAAGACAACCAUGAACGAGUUUUGGAAAAAUAACACGAUCUUUCUUCUUAGAAGAUCAAAAAGAACUAAUAAAUUCUUCUGCGUCUUAGAACGAAAAACGAAUCCCGAAGGCCGAUGCACGUGCAGAAGCGCCGCAAGAAAAGUGUUCCGCUUACAUAAAUCUCAUCAGCUUGAAAGCCGCGGGUGCUGGAUUACUUCUAUCGUGACAGGCUAUCGGCAGUUUCUCCAACGGAGUUGGUGUAAUGUAAACGACGCGGCGUCCUUCUUCGGCCCAGUAAAUUGCUACCUACGAAGGAAAACUCGAUUCCGGAAAUGUCCAUACCAUUUUUAACAAAACAGUUCCAUAACGAGC